UUAUAGUCGCAGCAGUGAAAAGGAACUUUUCAUCCAAAAAUUACAAAACAGAUUUAUGUUGAAAAUAAUGAGAACUUUGUUGGUGCCCUGGAAAAAUAUUUGAGAGAAGCAGAGAGUGAUUCCUUUUAUUGGGCCAGAGUGUAAAAUUCAGCUCAUUGGUCUCAAGGGAAGAAAAAGUUCUUUUCUUCAGUUGGCAAUUUGUUUUCAACAAAAGAUUUGGAAUGCCUUUUUCUUUUCUUUUCUUUUCUUUUCUUUUCUUUUCUUUUCUUUUUAAUAAAGGAAGGAUAUAGUUAGUUGACCAGGAAUUAGCUAGGGAUUAAGAAUUGGUUGGCUUGGCAAUAUUUCUACCUGCUUGCUGUGCAUAUACUUGAAUUAACAACGGUCAAUAAUCAAAAGGGCAUUAGAAUGUGAGUUGGGCUGUGGAGGGACCACCCCAAAUCUACUUCUCUGUAGUAUUGAACCCAGGGGCCUCACUUUGCUUCGCUGCAAUUCUGUGGUUUUUAAUUUAUCAUUUCCAGGAUCUGGGGGUUUCUUCAAGCUCCCAGACUUGCUCAGGCACAUUGCAAAUAGCCAUGAUUUGAGAUGAUUUUCUUUAAUGCUGAAGCAGAUGAAGAACCCAGGUUCUUUUUAGUGGCAAGGCUUGUUUAUCAGCAGCUAUACAGCUAUGGGCACAGACACAGGUAAACAGCACAGAUGCUGGGAGAGGGCUGGCAUCUGACCGUGACCAUCACGCCCAUGUGACAAAGGAUGUCACCACAGUGAACAGUUCUGACCACAGUGGCUUUUCACCUGCUUCGUUAAAUUUAACUCACACCGGCUCAGAGGACAAUUUGAUUCAUUCUGUAUCUCAGCAGAAACCAGAGCACCUCAGAAGAUCAAGGCUUCCAAAUUCUCCUGGGGGAACAGACGUCAGCCAUUCAGCACAAAGGAAACUUCCUUCUCUGUAUGUCAGAGGAAGACAUAAUUGUGCCAUUUCCUUCUUGAAGAAGUUUACAAACAUUUGCAAGUUGUCAAAAAUAAUUAGUCUAAAAUUGUUUCAUAAACCGUGGAAUGAAACAGGACGUGCCUUGUUGAGAUCAAAGGGCUUCUGUUACCUUCUUGUAAACUCAAAUGAAAUUCUUUUGAAAGUAAACUCUUGGAAUUAGCAGUGGUUUUUGUGGCACAUGUAUGGCAGGGGGAGGGGAGCAGAAUGAUUCAGAUAGCAGAGUCCAGGGGAGAGCCGGGAGGAGUAAAGCCCUGUCCACAGAGAAUGGGAAUGGGUCUUGAACAGCCAUGGUGAUCUGUGCCAGUGGGCACAGGACUUCUUCAACGGGAAGCUCAGGCAUUCAGGAAACACUCAUUUCGGUGAUCUUGAACUUGCAAGAGUGAGAGUGGGCAUGGACACUCACAGUUCUACAAACAAAGUAAGAACUGGGGCUUGUGAGUCAGUCAGACUGAGUUUCCAUUCCAGCACCGCCGGCUCCUACAAGCAGGCCCUGGAGAAGCCACUUCACCUCCGCGUCUCAGGCCACUCACCUCCAAAGACAGAUGCAAACUCCGCCUCCCUCCUCGGUGAGAGGUGAGAAAACUGUGAUGCGGUCGACUGGCACCUAGCAUUGCCCCCAUCUGGAACAUCUGCAGCCUAGAUCUGUUCUGAUGAAGUAGAAGCCGCAGAUCUUAUCCUGAAACAGGCCAGGUGCAAGUGUCCUCUUAGAAGGGAUCAACCAUGGGAUGCGGCAUUAAGAGAAGAGAGAAGGACAUCCUUACAACUGUGCCUUUCUUUCAACUCAGUCGUGCGCAUUAGGCUUGUAUCAGUUAAAGUGCAGGCAAGAAAUUUCAAGCAGAAAGGGAGUCAGGUGCUCAUAGCAUUGCUGGCAGAAUUGAGAGCAGCGGGAGCCAUGGGAUGGGGGUGCUGCCUGGAAAUCAGGAAACUGGAGAAGCCUGCUGGAACCUGCUGAGGAACCCAUCACUGCAGCAAGAGACUGAUGGUGGACUGCAGGGGCCAGGAAGGUGCAGGAAGCCCCUGCUGCUGCAGGAGAAAGGAUGAAGGAUGGUUAUCUUCCACCUUCCAAAUCUCACAGGAACACCUCUUCUAGGUGGAAUCCAAACCAGAUUCCUUCUGGAAAGGGAUUCUGGAAAGUGUAGUUCUUAUGCUUCCAGCCUCUGAGAUAAGCAAGGACAAUUGCUGGAGGCGAGGGUGUCGCUGAAUACCAAGGAAGGAUAGCAGGUGUAGUUGCCCACAUGGCCACUCAGCAUCCACAUGGACAUCCCACCCAUGUUAAUUUCCAAAGAGCCAUCACAGAAACAUCAUCAUGCUUCCUCACAAAGAAGAAAUGCUCACCUCCACCCCAAUAGAAAGGGUCCAGGUAUCCAUCUCUGAGUGAUGGUCACCCUCCAUAUUCAGUAAAAAACACCCUCGGAUAGACUGUGGUUGAAAGACUAAACCUUUAGGUUAGCCACAGUCAAUAUAUCUUAUAUAAAAUAAGAGAGGCGGGGAGAGCAGGGGAAAGAGAUACUGGGUUAUGUGUGUAAAAACAUACACAAUAAAGCAAACAAGAAACGCUGUGUAGUUCCUAGAGUCCUCAUCUCUACCAGUGGUCACAAGGCUUUUGUGAUGGGUAAUUUUAGGUGUCAGCUUGACUGGACUGAGGAAUGCCUAGAUGGCUGCUGAAGCAUUGCUUCUAGGUGUCUGUGAGGAUGUUUCCAGGGGAGAAGGGCAUGUGAGUAGACUGAGAAAGACCCCCCUCAGUGUGGAUGGCCACCGUCAAAUUGACUGGGGGCCCAGUUGGGACAAAAGGGUGGAAGGAGGGAUUCUCACUUUCUCUUUUUCUCUCUCUCUCGGUCUCAGUCUCUGUUCCCCACUUCCUGAGUGGGACGCUCAGCGAGGAUACAGUUAGCUGGUGAGGAUACAGAGAAACUGGAUCACUCCUACCUUGCCCGUGGGAAUAUAAAAUGGCACAGCCACUCUGAAAAGCAGUUUGGCAGCUUGUCACAAAACUAAAUAUGCAAUUCUCCUUCUACCUUUGAACAUCAGAUUCUAGGUUCUCUGGCUUUUGGACUCUGGGACUUGCAACAGUGGCCUGGGAACUACAGGGCCUUUGACCUCAGACUGGGGGCCACAUGGUCUGCUUUCCUGGUUCUGAGGCCUCUGGACUUUGACUGAGCUACACUGCUAGCUUCUCCAGUUCUCCAGCUUGCAGACAGCCUGUUGUGGGACCUCUCUGCCCCUGUGAUCAUGUGAGGCAAUUCUGCUAAUAAACCCCUCUCAAAUAUCCUAUGGGUCCUGUCUCUCUG
rnacentral:lncRNA from 10 species